rnacentral:lncRNA from 1 species
UUUAGUCAGUAAAUAUUAAGAAUUAUAUAAGUGUUUUGUUUUGUGCCAUGUAAUGAACCUGUACUAAGACCUAGCAGGAUUGUACUGUCUCAAGGAACAGCAAAUCAGAAGAAAGCUCCUCUCUUUAUCUUUUUACUCUUCCAAGUGGUUGUCUUUCCUAUUGAAGUUUCUUCUGUACUUUGAAGAUUUUUUUGAACAAAUGCAUCACUUCAGUAUUAGCAUAGAUAUUUAGUCUGUCAAAGCGAGUGGAUACAAGUCCAGAUCAAUCUUUGUUUCUUUUUAAAGGUAACUGUAUUCACAUUCUUUCUUUUGUUUUAAAGGGGCUCAGCCACUAAGGGUUUGGAAUCUGCUGGAAAUUUGCUCCAGCUUCCCAGUGCUAGGAUGUGCAAGAUUUGUGGAGAGACUGCAGGGGUGGCUGAGGGAAAAGGACAUUUUUCUGCAAACAGAUGAAGCAACAAACAAAUGAAGUUUAAUAAUGAAGCAGAAAUGAAUUUUGUAAAGGAAGCUGGAAACGUGGAGUGUGGACCUUGCAAAGCAAUUCUAGGAGACCAUGGGAUUGAACUAACUCCAUGAGGCACUGGCUGGAGGGGACUUUGGCAGAAUCACUGGGGAAUUCCAUGUAAUUAAAGAAGAAAAGAUCUAUAACAUGUUUUGAAUGAACUUUUAACUGUGAUAUGGAAACUCUAAACUCUUUACCUCACCCUAGGGCUUGCCUCAUUUACAGAUUCAGUAAGGGCGGCUUCUGUUCUAGUGUUCAAAUUCUAAGUUCUUUGAUAGCUUGUGUACAUGUUUUCAGACAUGUUUUGUCUGAACUAUGGUUUUAGCUACACCACCAUUUCCUAACUCACCUUUACUAAAGCUGUCUAAAAUGUUGCUAGAUUCUAGCAAAAGGCAAAAUAAAUGACAUCCACUGCCCCUCCAAGACCACGCACAUGCCCAUGAGUUCUAUCAUAGAUGAAAACGAAGUUAAUGUGACCAGCUUUUACCUUGGCAGCCCAGCUUGGCGUUUGCUCACAUACUGCACACCUUUCAAGAGCUUUUUUAUUUCAGAGGCAUGGCUAAUCCAUUAUUUUUGGCAUCUCCUCAGUACUAUGUUCUGUUUUCAAGAGCUUAUGGCUCUUGAUUAUGCCCAUGUGGCUCUGGGCAGCCUGCUCACAGCACAGAGGUUGAAACCAGAUGAUCAUUAUGGUCCUUUUCCACCCAGGCCAUUCUAUGAUUCACUUUUCUCCUGGUUUUUGUUUUCAUUGAAAUAUCACUCAUUUUCUAUUUGCAAGUGCCCCAUGUUCACCAGAGUAAAUCCUUUAGACCUAGUGGACUGAAACCAUCUUCUUUGUAUUUUUUUACUUCCUCUUUUUGAAUUCUUAUUUAAACAUUUAUUCUUCUAUCACUGAUUUUAAUUGUCAUAAGCAACAUUAAUUAUUAGCUUUUUCUCCUAAAGGCUGACUGAAAUGAAUUUUAGAUCAGAUUGGCUGUUCAGAAGAGAACGUUUGUGUUUUUUUUGUUUGUUUCUGUGUAUCAGUGACUCAGAACAGCUUAACUGCAAAUGUGAGAAAUUGCUGUGGAAGAGCAGCAUUUAUUGCAGGACACUAAAUGACUGCCCUCAAGUGGCAAAAUGAGAGCAGUACCACUCGCUAUAUUUCUGUACGUCUGUAUGUAGAAAAAAGCCCAAGGAUUUAAACUGAAAUAUUAUUCAGGGAUUGAUACCUCAGCUUCCUUUUUGAAAGUAAGGGGUAGGCCUGCAUUUCUGAACGGCUGGGUUCCAUGCAAAAGCUGAUGCUUCUCACAUAGGCAGUGUUUAUUUUCUUGAUAUGUUUUUUUUCUGUGCAAUUUUGGUUCCUUUUAUACAGUUUAUCAAGUUAAUUUUAAAAUUCUCAUUUACUUCAGCGAUUAAGAACUGUGCAAUCCUUCUAAUGUUGAUUAAGAAAGAAGUCUUAAGAAUAUUAAUGUUUGACUUUGGAUAUUCCUACAUUCUCUUUAUUGUCACUGGAAAUUUGGAGUGAGUAGCCAACAGUCAAUUUUUUUUUCUCAUUUUUUGCUAUAUCUUCUACAAUAACAAAGGCUUUAUACUACUGAAGAAAAAUAAUUUUCUCAUUGUAGCGGCACUUCAUGCUCUGUUCUCAGAACUUCAUUCAGGCAGGUUUGAAGCACUGAAAAGCAGGCAAACAAAAAAUGUACCCCGCUUUAUCUUCCUCAUCCUCUCGUUCUGGAGCUGCUGUGAUGCAAAGUCAAACUAUAAUCUAGCAUUAAUAGCAAAGUGAAUAGAAAAUUCAGGCAAGGCAUAUUGAAAAG